rnacentral:rRNA from 1 species
UACAGAGGUCUCAAGCGUUGUUCGGAUUCAUUGGGCGUAAAGGGUGCGUAGGCGGCGCGGUAAGUCGGGUGUGAAAUCUUGGAGCUUAACUCCGAAACUGCAUUCGAUACUGCCGUGCUUUGAGGACUGGAGAGGAGACUGGAAUUUACGGUGUAGCGGUGAAAUGCGUAGAUAUCGUAAGGAAGACCAGUGGCGAAGGCGGGGUCUCUGGACAGUUCCUGACGUGAGGCACGAAGGCCGGGGGAGCAAAACGGG